rnacentral:rRNA from 1 species
UACGUAGGGUGCAAGCGUUGUCCGGAAUUAUUGGGCGUAAAGAGCUCGUAGGCGGUCUGUCGCGUCGGCUGUGAAAACCCGGGGCUCAACCCCCGGGCCUGCAGUCGAUACGGGCAGACUAGAGUGCGGUAGGGGAGACUGGAAUCCUGGUGUAGCGGUGAAAUGCGCAGAUAUCAGGAGGAACACCGAUGGCGAAGGCAGGUCUCUGGGCCACUACUGACGCUGAGAAGCGAAAGCAUGGGGAGCGAACAGG